rnacentral:rRNA from 1 species
GCCCUUUCAAUAAUAAAAGGUGACACCUGCCCAAUGGUUUAUAAGUAAAGAAAUAAUCUAACUUCAAAUAAACUCAAAGGACGCGGUAUCCUGACCGUGAUAAUGUAGCAUAAUCAUUCGCCAUUUAAUUGAUGGAUAGUAUGAAUGGUAUAACGAGUAUAACACUGUCUCAAGAAAAACCCUUAUGAAAUUAGAAUAAUAGUAAAGAUACUAUUUAAAACUGUAAGACGAGAAGACCCUAUAGAGCUUAACUAUAACUCUUUAAAAAGUAGUAAAUUAAUUUACUAAAAUAAAGAGAUAGGUAGUUUAGUUGGGGCGACUGUUUUCUAAAACUAACGAAAACAAGCAAAAUUAAUUAAAAAAUUUACUGUAUAAUAAAUAAAUUUAACAGUUAUAAAAAUAGGCAAUAAUGACCCGUUAUUUAUACAUAAUAAUAAUAACGAUCAAUAAAUAAAAGCUACCUUAGGGAUAACAGGAUAAUCUUGUUCUAGAGAUCUUAUCGAAAACAAGGUUUGUCACCUCUAUGUUGAAUUGAGAUAACCAAGAAGUGCAGAAGCUUCUAAAGGUAGGUCUGUUCGACCUAUAAAUCUU